rnacentral:rRNA from 1 species
UACGAAGGGGGGCUAGCGUUGUUCGGAAUUACUGGGCGUAAAGCGCGUGUAGGCGGGUCUUUUAAGUCAGGGGUGAAAUGCCAGGGCUCAACCUUGGAACUGCCUUUGAUACUGGAGACCUUGAGUCCGGGAGAGGUGAGUGGAAUUGCGAGUGUAGAGGUGAAAUUCGUAGAUAUUCGCAAGAACACCAGUGGCGAAGGCGGCUCACUGGCCCGGAACUGACGCUGAGACGCGAAAGCGUGGGGAGCAAACAGGG